UACGGGAGGCAGCAGCGGGGAAUAUUGGGCAAUGGGCGAAAGCCUGACCCAGCAACGCCGCGUGAAGGAUGAAGGUCUUCGGAUUGUAAACUUCUUUGAUCAGGGACGAAACAAAUGACGGUACCUGAAGAACAAGCCACGGCUAACUACGUGCCAGCAGCCGCGGUAAU
rnacentral:rRNA from 1 species